rnacentral:rRNA from 1 species
CGUAACGCGUAUAGAACCUACCUUUUACAGGGGAAUAGCCCAGAGAAAUUUGGAUUAAUGCCCCAUAGUAUUAUAGAAUGGCAUCAUUUUAUAAUUAAACAUUUAUGGGUAAAAGAUGGCUAUGCGUUCUAUUAGCUAGAUGGUAAGGUAACGGCUUACCAUGGCAACGAUAGAUAGGGGUCCUGAGAGGGAGAUCCCCCACACUGGUACUGAGACACGGACCAGACUCC